rnacentral:rRNA from 1 species
UACGUAGGGCGCAAGCGUUGUCCGGAAUUAUUGGGCGUAAAGAGCUCGUAGGGGGCCUGUUGCGUCCGCUGUGAAAUCCCGGGGCUCAACCCCGGGCCUGCAGUGGAUACGGGCUGGCUGGAGGCAGGCAGGGGAGAACGGAAUUCCUGGUGUAGCGGUGAAAUGCGCAGAUAUCAGGAGGAACACCGGUGGCGAAGGCGGUUCUCUGGGCCUGUUCUGACGCUGAGGAGCGAAAGCGUGGGGAGCGAACAGG